rnacentral:rRNA from 1 species
CCUACGGGAGGCUGCAGUGGGGAAUAUUGCACAAUGGGCGCAAGCCUGAUGCAGCCAUGCCGCGUGUGUGAAGAAGGCCUUCGGGUUGUAAAGCACUUUCAGCGGGGAGGAAGGCGGUGAGGUUAAUAACCUCAUCGAUUGACGUUACCCGCAGAAGAAGCACCGGCUAACUCCGUGCCAGCAGCCGCGGUAAUACGGAGGGUGCAAGCGUUAAUCGGAAUUACUGGGCGUAAAGCGCACGCAGGCGGUCUGUCAAGUCGGAUGUGAAAUCCCCGGGCUCAACCUGGGAGCUGCAUUCGAAACUGGCAGGCUAGAGUCUUGUAGAGGGGGGUAGAAUUCCAGGUGUAGCGGCGAAAUGCGUAGAGAUCUGGAGGAAUACCGGUGGCGAAGGCGGCCCCCUGGACAAAGACUGACGCUCAGGUGCGAAAGCGUGGGGAGCAAACAGGAGUAGAUACCCGGGUAGUC